UACGGAGGAUGCGAGCGUUAUCCGGAUUUAUUGGGUUUAAAGGGUGCGUAGGCGGACGCUUAAGUCAGCGGUAAAAUUGCGGGGUUCAACCUCGUCGGGCCGUUGAAACUGGGUGCCUUGAGUGGGCGAGAAGUACGCGGAAUGCGUGGUGUAGCGGUGAAAUGCAUAGAUAUCACGCAGAACUCCGAUUGCGAAGGCAGCGUACCGGCGCCCAACUGACGCUGAAGCACGAAGGCGUGGGUAUCGAACAGG
rnacentral:rRNA from 1 species